CUGCAGUCGAGCGAACAGAUAAGGAGCUUGCUCCUUUGACGUUAGCGGCGGACGGGUGAGUAACACGUGGAUAACCUACCUAUAAGACUGGGAUAACUUCGGGAAACCGGAGCUAAUACCGGAUAACAUAUUGAACCGCAUGGUUCAAUAGUGAAAGGCGGCUUUGCUGUCACUUAUAGAUGGAUCCGCGCCGUAUUAGCUAGUUGGUAAGGUAACGGCUUACCAAGGCAACGAUACGUAGCCGACCUGAGAGGGUGAUCGGCCACACUGGAACUGAGACACGGUCCAGACUCCUACGGGAGGCAGCAGUAGGGAAUCUUCCGCAAUGGGCGAAAGCCUGACGGAGCAACGCCGCGUGAGUGAUGAAGGUCUUCGGAUCGUAAAACUCUGUUAUCAGGGAAGAACAAAUGUGUAAGUAACUGUGCACAUCUUGACGGUACCUGAUCAGAAAGCCACGGCUAACUACGUGCCAGCAGCCGCGGUAAUACGUAGGUGGCAAGCGUUAUCCGGAAUUAUUGGGCGUAAAGCGCGCGUAGGCGGUUUUUUAAGUCUGAUGUGAAAGCCCACGGCUCAACCGUGGAGGGUCAUUGGAAACUGGAAAACUUGAGUGCAGAAGAGGAAAGUGGAAUUCCAUGUGUAGCGGUGAAAUGCGCAGAGAUAUGGAGGAACACCAGUGGCGAAGCGACUUUCUGGUCUGUAACUGACGCUGAUGUGCGAAAGCGUGGGGAUCAAACAGGAUUAGAUACCCCUGGUAGUCCACGCCGUAAACGAUG
rnacentral:rRNA from 1 species